GUCGUUGUAGUAUAGUGGUGAGUAUUGCUGCCUGUCUCCCGGGUGACCCGGGUUCGAUCCCCGGCAACGGCG
rfam:Nicotiana attenuata strain TT scaffold05047, whole genome shotgun sequence.